rnacentral:rRNA from 1 species
UGGGGAAUAUUGCACAAUGGGCGCAAGCCUGAUGCAGCCAUGCCGCGUGUGUGAAGAAGGCCUUCGGGUUGUAAAGCACUUUCAGCGGGGAGGAAGGCGAUAAGGUUAAUAACCUUGUCGAUUGACGUUACCUGCAGAAGAAGCACCGGCUAACUCCGUGCCAGCAGCCGCGGUAAUACGGAGGGUGCAAGCGUUAAUCGGAAUUACUGGGCGUAAAGCGCACGCAGGCGGUCUGUCAAGUCGGAGGUGAAAUCCCCGGGCUUAACCUGGGAACUGCAUUCGAAACUGGCAGGCUAGAGUCUUGUAGAGGGGGGUAGAAUUCCAGGUGUAGCGGUGAAAUGCGUAGAGAUCUGGAGGAACACCGGUGGCGAAGGCGGCCCCCUGGACAAAGACUGACGCUCAGGUGCGAAAGCGUGGGGAGCAAACAGG